rnacentral:misc_RNA from 1 species
AAAUCUUCAAAGUAAACCUUUUGUUAACUCGAUUGGUUCUGCUUUGGUAUUGGAGGUUAUUGCAGCUUCACACCUGCUCCUCUUUGUGCAUUAGCUGGAUCUCAGUGUUAUGCUUGGUUCCACUCAGCGUGAUAAGUAUCUAUCGCUGAGGACACUGUAACAGGUGGCCAAGGUAAACGCAGAUGAACCGCUUCCAACAGUCCAUUUACUUGGACAAUACUCUUAUG